GUUAAGUCGACCGCCUGGGGAGUACGGCCGCAAGGUUAAAACUCAAAUGAAUUGACGGGGGCCCGCACAAGCGGUGGAGCAUGUGGUUUAAUUCGAUGCAACGCGAAGAACCUUACCUGGUCUUGACAUCCACGGAAGUUUUCAGAGAUGAGAAUGUGCCUUCGGGAACCGUGAGACAGGUGCUGCAUGGCUGUCGUCAGCUCGUGUUGUGAAAUGUUGGGUUAAGUCCCGCAACGAGCGCAACCCUUAUCCUUUGUUGCCAGCGGUCCGGCCGGGAACUCAAAGGAGACUGCCAGUGAUAAACUGGAGGAAGGUGGGGAUGACGUCAAGUCAUCAUGGCCCUUACGACCAGGGCUACACACGUGCUACAAUGGCGCAUACAAAGAGAAGCGACCUCGCGAGAGCAAGCGGACCUCAUAAAGUGCGUCGUAGUCCGGAUUGGAGUCUGCAACUCGACUCCAUGAAGUCGGAAUCGCUAGUAAUCGUGGAUCAGAAUGCCACGGUGAAUACGUUCCCGGGCCUUGUACACACCGCCCGUCACACCAUGGGAGUGGGUUGCAAAAGAAGUAGGUAGCUUAACCUUCGGGAGGGCGCUUACCACUUUGUGAUUCAUGACUGGGGUGAAGUCGUAACAAGGUAACCGUAGGGGAACCUGCGGUUG
rnacentral:rRNA from 1 species